ensembl:lncRNA
CUAGAUUUGGUCGACAUUGAGUUGUGCCCUGUCUUUUGUUGUUGACACAGAGGCAGGCACAAUGUCUCUAUAGAAAGAUAAUUGCCACUGAGUGACUCAUUUUUUUCCAGAAAAACUUUCAGCCACUAUCACCUUUCUGGAGAGUGGCAGUCAAUGGGCAGAUUAAAUGGACAGGUUAGUGCUCAGCUCAGAGCCUAAAUCCUGAUCUUGGUUUGCAUGUGAACAUUCAGGAGGGAAUCCAUGGCCCCAAAGGAAAGCUGGUGACCAGAGAAGAGCAGAAUAGUGAUUUCCAUUGCCCCCUCCUGUGAUGGGCUGCCACUGGCACCGUGGCUGAAUCUGCACGUGCAGUGAUAGGGACUGAAAGAUUCGAGAUGAAACACAGCCCUAUGCAGCCGCAGCCAUGGAGCAGGGAAACAGACAUCCACAUAGGAUCUGAAGAAGCGCUGUCUGUGUGAAAUAAACUGAAAAUACUACCUUUCCGGGCUGGAGCAAGAGAUUUUCAAUCAAAUGCCCUCCUCCACAAGGUGUUUGUGCUGCAGGAAACCGGACAACUGUCAUCAAUGAUCUUAGCUUCAACCCUCUUGGACUCUCGUGAGUAAUAUUAGCGGCCGGACUGAAAGUGACAGCACAAGAUGAACUAUGACAUGGAGUCAGACAAAUUGUAGCUCUGCUGUCAGGAUGAUGGGUUAUGCAGGCAGAGUCAUCCCGGGCUGAUCUCAGCAGGCACCCUGCCUCGGAGGAGAUGAGAAGGCGCUGAGCCAAGCUUCCCGUUGGCGCUUGUGCCACCUGAGCAGAGACUCCCUUACCAGCAGUGCCUCCCUCAUAAUACUGGGAGUCAUUUCCGGGGCAGGACUUCCUUUGUUUUUGCUUGUCCUCUAAAUGCUGAUUUGCAUGAUGUUUGAUCUUGACAUGUCUGAUGAUUUCUGACUGUGGACAGCCACGUGUCUACAGGAGGAGGCAGAAACUCCAGUAAUUGGCUAGCACGGUGCUUCGCGAGGACGUCAUUCAUCCCGCGCUCCAACAAAGUGGCGAGAAAGAUGGACGAUGCACGGGACGGAGGCGGGGAGAACCUGCCCAAGAGGCAACCGACUAAUUGCGAGCCCCCCAUGGUUGUACAUCUCAGUUGUAAGUCCUUCCAGUUCUUCUAUGUGAGCCGCCACCACAGCAUUGACAGACAGGUGGUGUGGUUCCGUGACCAGAAAGUGAACCCAGGCCGCUGAAGUGAGAUCAUCUACUGCUCCAUUCAACUACAUGGCUUCCAGAUUUGCACCAGUAUCUCCAGGGUGCUCUUCAGACGUACAGAUUCCUGAGCCCCAUCUCAGACCAGCUGAAGAAUAUCUGGGCAGGAGGGCUCAGAGACCAGAAUUUGAUAAGAGGCUUACUACCUGUUUGGCAAAUUGAAAACAGGUGCAACAGGCAUGCCUGGGUUACAGGAUGAAAACUCCAGCGGUUGUACCUGUGAAGUACUGAUCAGAUCAUAUAUAGGCCCCUCCUUCCUCCUGCCAGCUCAUAAAGAAAAGCAACAGUUUACAGAAGCACACAGAGAAUGCACAAUUCUCUUUUAAAAUCCUAUGUAAAAAUGUCAAAAUUCUAUUUUAGAACGUGGCUAAGUAGAGGGUAUUUUAAGAUUCUAGUUUUAAAAUACCUUUUAAUGGUUCUUCUCACAUGUAUUUGGAACUUUGAGCACUCUUGUGAUAACAAUAAUUUCAAUCAGAGACAGGUAGAAAUGAAGAGCAUAAUACACUCUGCAGAUUACUUGCCCGUUCUGUCGAC